rnacentral:rRNA from 1 species
AGUGAACGCUGGCGGCGUGCCUAAUACAUGCAAGUCGAACGAACGAAUAAGAGCUUGCUCUUAUAAGUUAGUGGCGCACGGGUGAGUAAUAUAUAGCUAAUCUGCCUCUUAGUAGAGGAUAACAGUCGGAAACGAUUGCUAAUACUCUAUACUUCUGCUUUACAUAAGUAAAGUAGAGAAAGUUUUUCGCUAAGAGAUGAGGCUAUACUGUAUCAGCUAGUUGGUAAGGUAACGGCUUACCAAGGCUAUGACGCAUAACUGGUCUGAGAGGAUGAUCAGUCACAUUGGAACUGAGACACGGUCCAAACUCCUACGGGAGGCAGCAGUAGGGAAUAUUGCGCAAUGGGGGAAACCCUGACGCAGCAACGCAGCGUGGAGGAUGACACUUUUCGGAGCGUAAACUCCUUUUAUCGGGAAAGAAUAAUGACGGUACCCGAUGAAUAAGCACCGGCUAACUCCGUG